UACGUAGGGUGCAAGCGUUGUCCGGAAUUAUUGGGCGUAAAGAGCUCGUAGGCGGUUUGUCGCGUCUGCCGUGAAAGUCCGGGGCUCAACUCCGGAUCUGCGGUGGGUACGGGCAGACUAGAGUGAUGUAGGGGAGACUGGAAUUCCUGGUGUAGCGGUGAAAUGCGCAGAGUAUCAGGAGGAACACCGGUGGCGAAGGCGGGUCUCUGGGCCGUAACUGACGCUGAGGAGCGAAAGCAUGGGGAGCGAACAGG
rnacentral:rRNA from 1 species